AGAAGCAUAAAACCUAAAUCUUCCAGCAAGUGCAAGACCCUGCGUUCUUUCAGUGUUUGCAGUAAACCAAGCAGAAUGAAUUGCUGUCUGUAAAGUACUGUGCCAUGACACCUAAAAUGAAGGGAAUGUAAUGCAAAGUAAUGACUCAAAGGCUGCCACCAAGAGCUUUUCUCUUCCUUUAACUCAUUGUGGAAACUGAGGAAGAAAAGAAGUUACACGGUGUGCCUAAGGGGACACAGAGGAAGAGCACGCGGAACACAAUCAGGAAGGAGUGGAAGAAGUCAUUCAUGUGCCAACGCGGGAGCUUACAGUCGCUGUCAAUCUUGCAGACACAAUCUUUGUAGCUUUUACCGAAGAGCUGCAUGCCGACCACGGCAAAAAUGAA